rnacentral:rRNA from 1 species
GACGAACGCUGGCGGCGUGCCUAAUACAUGCAAGUCGAACGCAGUGGGGACGGGUGAGUAACACGUGGGUAACCUCCCAUCAGAGGGGAUAACACUUGGAAACAGGUGCUAAACCGAUACUGAUGGAUGGACCCGCGGUGCAUUAGCUAGUUGGUGGGGUAACGGCUCACCAAGGCCACGAUGCAUAGCCGACCUGAGAGGAUGACCAGCCACACUGGAACUGAGACACGGUCCAGACUCCUACGGGAGGCAGCAGUAGGGAAUAUUGCACAAUGGGCGCAAGCCUGAUGCAGCCAUGCCGCGUGUGUGAAGAAGGCCUUCGGGUUGUAAAGUACUUUCGUCGAGGAAGCGUUACUCGCCGAAGAAGCACCGGCUAACUCCGUGCCAGCAGCCGCGGUAAUUC